AUAUUUUUGAGUGGUUUUCAAAACAACUAUCUGGGUUAACUGAAUUUCGUGAUGUUGUACAGCUACUAAAGCCAGCUUCCUCUGCUCUGACGGAUAAAUCAUCAGAUGUUCGUAAAGCAGCAGAGACAUGCAUUGCUGAAAUCUUGAGAGUUUGUACACAAGAAACUGUUGAGAAGCUUGUUAGGGAUGUUUAGGGACCAGCUUUAGCUCUUGUUCAUGACGUUUGAAGCAUUAUGGUAAUUUUCAAGGCCCGUGAGGCUGAAAUUUCUGUACAGGGGAAAUUGGGAAAUUGUAGAACAAGUUGUUGAUUACUGGUACUCCAUUACAGAACAGUGUGGAAGAGUUGUGAUGUAGUUUCAGAGCUUACCAGGAAAACAGAGAUCACAGUGCACUGCAAAUUGAGUUCACGACAACAAGCUUUUUAUCGAGCUAUCAAGAACAAGAUAUCUCUUUCUGAGUUAUUUGACAACAAUCGUGGACAACUUAAUGACAAAAAACUCCUUAAUUUAAUGAAUAUUGUCAUUCAGCUAAGGAAGGUCUGUAAUCAUCCAGAGUUAUUCGAAAGGAGUGAGGGAAGCACAUAUCUCUACUUUGGUGAGAUUCCCAUCGCCCUUUUGCCUGCCCCCUUUGGGGAAUUGGAGGAUGUACACUACUCAGGAGGUCACAAUCCUAUAAUAUUCAAGGUUCUUUUUA